rnacentral:rRNA from 1 species
GACAGAGGGUGCAAACGUUGCUCGGAAUCACUGGGCGUAAAGGGCGUGUAGGCGGGAGGGCUAGUCAGAUGUGAAAUCCCUGGGCUCAACCCAGGAACUGCAUUUGAAACUCCCCUUCUUGAGUACCGGAGAGGAAAGUGGAAUUCCUGGUGUAGAGGUGAAAUUCGUAGAUAUCAGGAGGAACACCAGUGGCGAAGGCGGCUUUCUGGACGGUAACUGACGCUGAGACGCGAAAGCGUGGGGAGCAAACAGG